AUGGACAUCGGCCUGGCUGCUCUUGCUGCUUCUUACCUCGGCGGGGAGGAAGCCGUCAAGAAGCCUGACAGCAGUCCAUCCGCAGGAGAGGGAAAGGUAUUGAUUUUCCGCAGGCGCCCAAUCACACAGGAUUCCCCGUCCUUGAAUCCCCCUGCUUAUGGCUACCCCGACGGCGGUGGCGACCAGCCAAGCUUCGUCUUGAUCGAGCCAUACGCCUUCUUUGCCGACCGCCGCAACGCCACCACCGCCGACUGCGGCUUGGAGGGUCUCCGUCUCCGGGGUAACAUCGAGGUCACCUUCUGCACCGCCCAACCACCGCAGGUCUCCUACCUAUGCUUCCACGUCACCGCCUACGACCACAACGUGUUCGCCACCCGGCCUAGCAUAGUCGCCACAGAGACUGACGGUGGGCUCGUCCUCCUAUGCGUCGUAGUCGGUGAUUGCCCAUCCGAUGCGUUGUAUCGCGGCAAUCGACACUACUUCGUCUACGACGCCAGUGUUCCCGAGCUCAAGCACAUCAAGCAGCCCGGCAACGACCACCCAGAGCUAAUGGGUUCAGAUAUGGCAAUCCUUCUCACCUCUGCCUCUAUGACCAUGAUACCAACUCCUGGAGCAAGCUGCCAGUGA
rnacentral:rRNA from 1 species